ensembl:lncRNA
AAUAAUUUAGCCGCGGAGUGGUGUUUCUGAUCAGUGGAGCGAGGAGCGGGAAAUGGUGAACCCGGAGCAGAGCUGGAGCGGAGUUAUUAUUGAAUGCUUGGAGCGCGGAGGGAAAAUUGUUGCCGCUCCACUCCACUCAUAUUCUGGUGAUCUGUAAAUGGGACCUCCGCUAUUUAUGGGGCCAUGGUCAAAGUCUUCUGAGCCUUCUGUCAAAGGUCCCUCAUUAAAAGCCUCCGUGAACUCCAAGUUAGAGGGCUGGAGGCUUCCACACAACACCGCGUGGGUUUGCAAUCCUGUCAUUAAAGUGACAUUAGUUAUACAAAAACGCAAUCAAAUCACAAUGACUGGACAGCAUGACUGCGAGUGCAUAUGUGCGUUUGCACUGGAUUUAAUGCUAUUCUUUUUUCAUCACACAAUUACUAGACAGUAAAAUGUUUCAUUAUGGCUCAAUUACACCUCCUGCUGGGACUUUACGGGCUCUUUGUCACCUCAGACUGGAGAAAGCAGACUUUGCCAUCUUCAUCUCAUGCCAGACAUUCCCUGCCACUUUGCCUUACGAA